rnacentral:rRNA from 1 species
UACAGAGGGGGCAAGCGUUGUUCGGAAUUACUGGGCGUAAAGCGUGCGUAGACGGUUACGUAAGUCGGGUGUGAAAGCCCCGGGCUCAACCUGGGAAUUGCAUUCGAGACUGCGUAGCUAGGGUGCGGAAGAGGGAAGCGGAAUUUCCGGUGUAGCGGUGAAAUGCGUAGAUAUCGGAAGGAACAUCAGUGGCGAAAGCGGCUUCCUGGUCCAGCACCGACGUUCAGGCACGAAAGCGUGGGGAGCAAACAGG